rnacentral:rRNA from 1 species
GAUGAACGCUGGCGGCGUGCCUAAUACAUGCAAGUCGAGCGAACAGAUGAGGAGCUUGCUCCUCUGACGUUAGCGGCGGACGGGUGAGUAACACGUGGAUAACCUACCUAUAAGACUGGGAUAACUUCGGGAAACCGGAGCUAAUACCGGAUAAUAUAUUGAACCGCAUGGCUCAAUAGUGAAAGACGGUUUUGCUGUCACUUAUAGCUGGAUCCGCGCCGCAUUAGCUAGUUGGUAAGGUAGCGGCUUACCAAGGCAACGAUGCGUAACCGACCCGAAGGGGUGGACGCCCACACGGGAACUGAGCCACGGUCCAGACUCCUACGGUAGGCAGCAGUAGGGAAUCUUCCGCAAGGGGCGAAAGCCUAACGGAGCAACGCCGCGUGAGUGAUGAAGGUCUUCGGAUCGUAAAACUCUGUUAUUAGGGAAGAACAAAUGUGUAAGUAACUAUGCACGUCUUGACGGUACCUAAUCAGAAAGCCACGGCUAACUACGUG